AUUGAACGCUGGCGGCAUGCCUUACACAUGCAAGUCGAACGGCAGCACGGGAGCUUGCUCCUGGUGGCGAGUGGCGAACGGGUGAGUAAUACAUCGGAACGUACACAGGAGUGGGGGAUAACGUAGCGAAAGUUACGCUAAUACCGCAUAUUCUGUGAGCAGGAAAGGGGGGGAGCGCAAGACCUCGCGCUCUUGGAGCGGCCGAUGUCGGAUUAGCUAGUUGGUGAGGUAAAAGCUCACCAAGGCGACGAUCCGUCUCAGGUCUGAGAGGAUGAUCUGCCACACUGGGACUGAGACCCGGGCCAGGCUCCUACGGGAGGCAGCAGUGGGGAAUUUUGUGCAAUGGGGGCAACCCUGAUCCAGCCAUGCCGCGUGAGUGAAGAAGGCCUUCGGGUUGUAAAGCUCUUUCGGCGGGGAAGAAAUGGCAACGGCUAAUAUCCGUUGUUGAUGACGGUACCCGCAUAAGAAGCACCGGCUAACUACGUGCCAGCCGCCGCCGUAAUAC
rnacentral:rRNA from 1 species